rnacentral:rRNA from 1 species
AAAAGCCUCUAAGCAUCAGGUAACAUCAAAUCGUACCCCAAACCGACACAGGUGGUCAGGUAGAGAAUACCAAGGCGCUUGAGAGAACUCGGGUGAAGGAACUAGGCAAAAUGGUGCCGUAACUUCGGGAGAAGGCACGCUGAUAUGUAGGUGAAGUCCCUCGCGGAUGGAGCUGAAAUCAGUCGAAGAUACCAGCUGGCUGCAACUGUUUAUUAAAAACACAGCACUGUGCAAACACGAAAGUGGACGUAUACGGUGUGACGCCUGCCCGGUGCCGGAAGGUUAAUUGAUGGGGUCAGCGCAAGCGAAGCUCUUGAUCGAAGCCCCGGUAAACGGCGGCCGUAACUAUAACGGUCCUAAGGUAGCGAAAUUCCUUGUCGGGUAAGUUCCGACCUGCACGAAUGGCGUAAUGAUGGCCAGGCUGUCUCCACCCGAGACUCAGUGAAAUUGAACUCGCUGUGAAGAUGCAGUGUACCCGCGGCAAGACGGAAAGACCCCGUGAACCUUUACUAUAGCUUGACACUGAACAUUGAGCCUUGAUGUGUAGGAUAGGUGGGAGGCUUAGAAGUGUGGACGCCAGUCUGCAUGGAGCCGACCUUGAAAUACCACCCUUUAAUGUUUGAUGUUCUAACGUUGACCCGUAAUCCGGGUUGCGGACAGUGUCUGGUGGGUAGUUUGACUGGGGCGGUCUCCUCCUAAAGAGUAACGGAGGAGCACGAAGGUUGGCUAAUCCUGGUCGGACAUCAGGAGGUUAGUGCAAUGGCAUAAGCCAGCUUGACUGCGAGCGUGACGGCGCGAGCAGGUGCGAAAGCAGGUCAUAGUGAUCCGGUGGUUCUGAAUGGAAGGGCCAUCGCUCAACGGAUAAAAGGUACUCCGGGGAUAACAGGCUGAUACCGCCCAAGAGUUCAUAUCGACGGCGGUGUUUGGCACCUCGAUGUCGGCUCAUCACAUCCUGGGGCUGAAGUAGGUCCCAAGGGUAUGGCUGUUCGCCAUUUAAAGUGGUACGCGAGCUGGGUUUAGAACGUCGUGAGACAGUUCGGUCCCUAUCUGCCGUGGGCGCUGGAGAACUGAGGGGGGCUGCUCCUAGUACGAGAGGACCGGAGUGGACGCAUCACUGGUGUUCGGGUUGUCAUGCCAAUGGCACUGCCCGGUAGCUAAAUGCGGAAGAGAUAAGUGCUGAAAGCAUCUAAGCACGAAACUUGCCCCGAGAUGAGUUCUCCCUGACCCUUUAAGGGUCCUGAAGGAACGUUGAAGACGACGACGUUGAUAGGCCGGGUGUGUAAGCGCAGC